ACACUCAACACUGUAACUACAACAAUCAUUGAACAAUGGCACCAUCUAGUGGAUAAGAUCCGCAAUACAAGUUCCCACGGAAACAUUGUUAAAUUUGGACAUGGACUUUUAAAUUUUGCAAUUUUGAAAGCAGGGCACAGCUUAGACACACUGUCGAAGACUGACCGUCGAAACCGGUUUGUGUGAGUAGCCUGUACCAGUGAGGCAUUAAAGAUAUCAGAAGGAGUGCUGCUGGCUUCUUGUUCUUUUUACACAGCUUAGGCCUAGUCUAUUCAGCGCAAUUUCAAUGCUGCAACUGCUCAAAAGAAAAACAAAAAGUGAAUCCAAAGCAUGAGCAUAGUACAGGCUGUGCACUGUACUCUGUAGUUCCCAAUAUACACGAAAAUAAAGACAUGUUAACAUAUAAAACAUGUAAGCUAUUGAAAGACUUGAAUUCACUCAGUUAAGUUGGGGAACGUCACAGUGACGACGGCGAACAAGGGGAUCCACGUACUUUUUCUUUCUUCCAACUUUAUUGAAAGUUGGAACAACAACAAACAAUUCAGUCAUUCCAGCUCACGUUUCGUACAAUAGAGUUACACACAUAUGACAGCAUAACAAGAGUCAAACAAAAGAGACAACAAUCGAAUUAACAAUAAAAAAUAAAUACAUUUCUUGGUGACAGACCUCGUAAUCCCAUGAGAAUUGUAAUUAUAAUUGUUGUGACAGAUUAUUGGUUGAAAUUUCUGAGUGUAUAGGCCUUAUUUGUAAUUAACUUCAGACAAGGGGACGUGCUUUGGUGACGACGUGUGUUUCAGACGUUUAUUUUUGUUAGUAAUUCUAACAUACGCCGUCGUCACGUCGCCGUCGAUACACGUUCUUUCAAUGCACUCACCGUGAAGUCGCCGCCGGUCUCUCAUCUGCUGUCCCAUUCACUCCCAUUCAAAAAUCCACACGGUCAGGCGGUGACGGAAGGGGAGGUUGCUCCUUCUCCUUCUCCUGGUAAUCCUUGCAUUGGCACUAUCCACCCGCCAUAGGCUCGCGCCCUGCAGCGAUCGUUUCGGCGUCUGAUCUAUUUUCUGUGCGAGCCGCGAGCGAAUGUGUCAAGCCGAGUGACGGAGACAACAGCUGGGAGCAGAACCGCUUGUCGACCAGGCUGGAGAAAUGCGCGUCUGAUGCCAACGCCUACUGGCAAAGAGGACAGCUGCGGUGGCGUCCAUCCCGUCCUGUGUUGUACUCCGGAUAGGAGUUUCCUGAUCCAGCUGGUCACUGCGUUGGCCUCGUGCUGCCCCUUGGCUGAAGUGAGAGACAUGUAACGCAACCACUUCCUCCUGUGUGUGACCAUCAUGCUGGGAUGCCAGAUCCUUUGGGAUGGGGAUUUGAGGGAAGACGAGCCUCAUCACGUCAUCUACAGUCUGUAAAAUAUUGAAUUUAAAUAUUGAUUUCCUUGUGUUUUUAAAUAAAGUGUUUCCCUGAGUCCACCUUUCUUGUAUAUAUUUCAAGUGUUGCCACAACUAUUUCAUAUAU